GUUACAGCCGCCGCGGUAAUACGAAGGGUGCAAGCGUUACUCGGAAUUACUGGGCGUAAAGCGUGCGUAGGUGGUUCGUUAAGUCUGAUGUGAAAGCCCUGGGCUCAACCUGGGAAUGGCAUUGGAUACUGGCGAUCUGGAGUGCGGUAGAGGGUAGCGGAAUUCCCGGUGUAGCAGUGAAAUGCGUAGAUAUCGGGAGGAACAUCCGUGGCGAAGGCGGCUACCUGGACCAGCACUGACACUGAGGCACGAAAGCGUGGGGAGCAAACAGGAUUAGAAACCCCUGUAGUCC
rnacentral:rRNA from 1 species